GCCAGCAGCCAUAUCACUCUGCAACUCACAACUGGCAACCCACUGUAGCCCAGCAGGUGUGAGCCUGGUCAGUACCUGGAUGGGAGACCUCCUGGGAAAAACUAAGGUUGCUGCUGGAA
rnacentral:rRNA from 1 species